rnacentral:rRNA from 1 species
AUGAGGCCGGAGGCGAGGCUCGAUUCGGCGGCGUUCCAGCUCACCCCCACCCGCACCAGGUGUGAUUUGGUUGUGGUGUCCAAUGGGAGGAAGGAGAAGAUCGCCUCCGGCCUGCUCAACCCCUUCGUCGCCCACCUCAAGGUCGCCCAGGAGCAGAUCGCCAAGGGAGGCUACACCAUCCUGCUCCAGCCGGAUCCGGGUGCCGACGCGCCAUGGUUCACCAGGGGCACCAUCCAGAGGUUCGUCCGGUUCGUGAGCACGCCGGAGGUCCUGGAGCGGGUCACCACCAUCGAGUCCGAGAUACUGCAGCUCCACGACGCCAUCGCUGUCCAGAACAAUGCAAAUAUUGGCCUCAAAUCUGCAGACGCCCAUAAUGUGGACUCCUCCAUGGAAGGUAGCAAGACAAGUUAUGAUCCUGAUGGUGAUAAGGCACUCGUCCUGUACAAGCCUGACACGCAUCCAGCAUCUCCCCUGCAGAAUGACACUGGAGCGCAUGAGGAGCAUUCAAAAGUUCAGCUUCUCAGAGUGCUGGAGACUCGCAAGACUGUCUUACGUAAAGAGCAGGCUAUGGCCUUUGCACGUGCUGUAGCUGCUGGGUUUGAUAUAGACAACCUGAUAUAUUUGAUCUCGUUCGCAGAGCGUUUUGGUGCUUCACGCUUGAUGAAGGCAUGCACACAGUUCAUUGAUUUGUGGAGGCAAAAACAUGAAACUGGACAGUGGAUUGAUGUUGAACCUGAAGCAAUGUCUGCACGCUCUGAAUUUCCUCCCUUCAAUGCUGCUGGCAUUAUGUUAAUGGGAGAUAAGGAAACAAUGUCUGUCUCUAAUGGAGAUACAAAUGGCGAAGAUGCUGCUAAAGCUGAUCAUAGGACACCUCAGCACCCAGGAGCUCCCCAUCAUGGUCCAUAUCAAUCAGGAUAUCCACCAUGGGCAAUGCAUCCUCCUUACCCCAUGCAAGGCAUGCCACCAUACUACCCUGGGGCGAACCCAUAUUACCCUCCUCCCUACCCCCCAACGGAUGAUCCCAGGUACAACCGUUCAGAAAGGAGACUAUCAAGGAGGCACUCAGCAGAUAGCAAGGACUUUGACAACUCCGAUGAUGAAAGUGAUGACCAAAGUGGUUCAGAGAGGGAGAGCUCUCAUGGCCGCAAGUCGAGUAAAAAGGGCAAUCGCUCGGGCAAGAAGAAAUCUAAUGUAAUUGUCAUACGCAAUGUAAAUGUAACAUCAAGGAAGAAGCAUGGGUCAUCAGAGAGUGAGUCGCAAUCAGGCUCUGAUGUGGCAUCAGAAGAUAGUGACGAUUCACACAGAAAAUCCAGCAAGAGGAAUCAUCAUAAGCGCUCAAGCUCGAAGAAAAAAGGGGAUAAAAAAACCACUGCUGAGUCUGAAGAUGAGUAUACAAAGGAUGGAAUGUCUAAUGGGCAGCAAGAUGGAGAUCAAGGAAACUGGAACGCGUUCCAGAAUUUCUUGCUCAGAGAUGAAGAGAAGACAAGAGAUCAUAAUGACGGGGACAUGUUCGCCAGUGAAAGAGAAGCAGCACCACCUAGGAGGAAAGAGACCACACGAAGUAUUGAUGAUCCUAUUCUUUUAUCAGAGCGAGGCUCUGCUGAUGUCAAUGAGCGGCAUGCGAUGUCUUUCAGUUCAGCCAACGGGAGACUUAGGGCCAGGCAGAUGAUGUCUGGUGAUGAACUUAUGAUGUCUGCGGAAGGUCGGAGCUUUGUGGAUGGUGGCAUGAAGGAGAUAGAAGCUGGAGGUGGGGGAUACAGAAGAGGGGCAAAUGAUGACUUCAUGGUUUAUGGACAUGACAACUCAAUGGACAGGAGGAGCUCCUUGGACCCCCUUGCCGAGGCGCAUUACAAGAGACCCACUCCUCUAGAGGAAAAGAAGAAUGUGCACAGUAUGGGCGAUGAGUCCUUCAUGAUACCUGUUACCUCCAACUCACAGGAUAAUCUUGGAGCAGCCGGCCGUACUGCCAUUGACAUAGAUGCCGAGCUUGGCUCAAGUGUUCAGAAAACAUCAGAUGCUAAGGCUGGAGCUGAACUUUUCUAUGAGCCAGAUGAGUUGAUUCCAGAGCGUGGAUUUGAAGAUGUUUCAUUUGGAUAUGACCCAUCAAUGGACUAUGACAGCCACAUGCAGAUUCAGCGUGAUGUCAGCGUUGAAGAUGCAAAUGCAGAGGACUUAUCCGUUUGUGUUGAGGGUGAAGAAAAGAUGCCGGGGAAAGAUAAGAAGCUUAGAGGUUCACAGGAGGGCUUGGAUAAAAGAAGGAAGGAUGCCUCUGCAAGGAGAUUAUCAGCGCCCAAAGGCCCACUAACCGAUGCUCAGAAACGCGCGCAAAACCUACGGGCUUACAAAGCGGGCCUUCAAAAGGAAAAGAAGGAGCUGGAAGCGGAGCAGAUGAAACGGCUGGAAAGGCUUAAGCAAGAGAGGGAAAAGAGGAUUGCUGCCAGAAGCGGCGCAUCGAAUCCCCAGAAAACAGCAGCUAAAGCAAGCACGGUGAGCAAGUCAACCUCAUCCUUGGCUGAGAUGAAAAAGGAGAAAAGUGGCGGCGGCGGCACAACCGAAUCGUUGAUUGAGCGAUUGAAAAAGCUUGCUCAACCUAAAACCAAUGCUUCAACUUUGAAUCCCAAGUCAGCGACCGCGGACCACCCACGGAGAAGAAGCUUGCCGCAAUAA